rnacentral:lncRNA from 1 species
UUUGUGGAAAAAAAUGUUGCUACUUGGAAAUCAGUAAGUGCCUUAGUUUCUUUUCCUGCUAACUUUAUCUUUCUAUAGAUCCAGAAUUCUGAGGGUAGAUUUUUUUUUUUAAAUUUAUUUGUAGUAUUGCUGAAUGCCAACAAGUUUCUGCCUAUGAAAAAAUUAUAUACUGCUCUCUCGGGAGAGCCAAAUAAAAACCAUGUGUGGAGAAAAACUUGAAAUACAAAAUUUGAUUUAAUUUGUGUAAUAAAAAUUAACUUGAAAAUUCACACUUUCACAUGUUUAAAACAGUUACUUAGUAUCAUGUUUUCUUAUAUCUGAAAAUAUUUUUAUUUCAUUGAAAAUGUUAUUUGCUUAAAAAAAGUGAAAGUGGCAUAGUAGAUUCUCAGUGCAUGUUAGUGUUCUUUAAUAUUUCACUCUGGCAACUUAUUAUUGAAGAAUGUGUAACAAGUUCUGAAGAAGAGUGAUAAUUUCCGUCUUAAUUUCAGAAUACAUUCUAUUCUGCUGGGAAAAAUUACUUACUACGUAUGUGCAAUGAUCUCCUAAGAAGAUUGUCUAAAUCCCAGAAUACAGUCUU